rnacentral:rRNA from 1 species
UACGUAGGGUGCAAGCGUUGUCCGGAAUUAUUGGGCGUAAAGAGCUCGUAGGCGGUCUGUCGCGUCGGAUGUGAAAAUCAGGGCUCAACCCUGGACCUGCAUUCGAUACGGGCAGACUAGAGUUCGGUAGGGGAGACUGGGAAUCCUGGUGUAGCGGUGAAAUGCGCAGAUAUCAGGAGGAACACCGGUGGCGAAGGCGGGUCUCUGGGCCGAUACUGACGCUGAGGCGCGAGAGCGUGGGGAGCAAACAGG